rnacentral:rRNA from 1 species
AGUAGUUUGAUCAGUGGCUCAGGACGAACGCUGGCGGCGUGCCUAACACAUGCAAGUCGAACGAGGUCCAUCCUUCGGGAGAAGACCUAGUGGCGAACGGGUGAGUAACACGUGAAAGAACCUGCCCCGAAGACCGGGAUAACCCUCCGAAAGGAGAGCUAAUACCGGAUACCCCCACCGAACCGCAUGGUUUGGUGAGGAAAUGGAUUCCGCUUCGGGAGGGCUUCGCGGCCUAUCAGCUAGUUGGUGGGGUAACGGCCCACCAAGGCAUCGACGGGUAGCUGGUCUGAGAGGACGAUCAGCCACACUGGGACUGAGACACGGCCCAGACUCCUACGGGGAGGCAGCAGUGGGGAAUCUUGCGCAAUGGGCGAAAGCCUGACGCAGCAACGCCGCGUGGGGGAUGAAGGCUCUCGGGUUGUAAACCCCUUUCAGCAGGGACGAAUCAAGACGGUACCUGCAGAAGAAGCCCCGGCUAACUACGUG